rnacentral:rRNA from 1 species
GAUGAACGCUGGCGGCGUGCCUAAUACAUGCAAGUCGAGCGAACAGACGAGGAGCUUGCUCCUUCGACGUUAGCGGCGGACGGGUGAGUAACACGUAGGUAACCUACCUAUAAGACUGGGAUAACUUCGGGAAACCGGAGCUAAUACCGGAUAAUAUUUCGAACCGCAUGGUUCGAUAGUGAAAGAUGGCUUUGCUAUCACUGAUAGAUGGACCUGCGCCGUAUUAGCUAGUUGGUAAGGUAACGGCUUACCAAGGCAACGAUACGUAGCCGACCUGAGAGGGGGAUCGGCCACACGGGAACUGAGAAACGGGCCAGAGUCCUAAGGGAGGCAGCAGUAGGGAAUCUUCCGCAAUGGGCGAAAGCCUGAAGGAGCAACGCGGCGUGAGUGAUGAAGGUCUUCGGAUCGUAAAACUCUGUUAUUAGGGAAGAACAAACGUGUAAGUAACUGUGCACGUCUUGACGGUACCUAAUCAGAAAGCCACGGCUAACUACGUG